CCACGUUCACCUGAGGGGACUAUAUAAGCAGACCCCCUGGCCCCUGGAGGAAAACAAGUUCAUCAUAGAGUUGAGAGGUGCCCUCGAAGGAUAACCUUUCCUCUAAAUAGACUUAGGGCUUAGCAUCCAAUGUGAGAGUAGACUAGAUCUACUAGAUUGAGAGAGAUAGAGUGGAGGUGUAGAUCGGAGGAAGCCCGGCCCGUCGGUGUUUACUCCGAGGUUGUACCUACAGGAUCAAGUCUCCUAACCUGAGGCUUGCUCCUAGGAUUCUUUAGUAUUUCGACUUCUAAAUUCUAGUAAGUUCUUGUUAUUAUUGUCGGUGCUUAGGUUAAAUAGCCUUCCUUGAUCUGAUUAGACAGGGAGUCUAGUUUGGUUACUGAACUAAAAACUGCUUGAGUAGGCAUUUGUUGGGUACCAUAAUAAGGGAUACCCAAAUCAGAGCAAUAAAAAACGCAAAGAAACACACUAACCACAAUCAUCAGGGCCUCGGCCGCGAGCUCCGACUCGCCUGACCCCCCAGGGCCUCGGACGCCAGUUCCGACUCGCCCGACCCAUCAGGGCCUCGGCCGCGAGCUCCGACUCGCCCGACCCCCAGGGCCUCGGACGCCAGUUCCGACUCGCCCGACCCCCACGGCCUCGGACGCCAGUUCCGACUCGCCCGACCCAUCAGGGCCUCGGCCGCGAGCUCCGACUCGCCCGACCCUCCAGGGCCUCGGACGCCAGUUCCGACUCGCCCGACCCAUCAGGGCCUCGGCCGCGAGCUCCGACUCGCCCGACCCCUCAGGGCCUCGGACGCCAGUUCCGACUCGCCCGACCCCUCAGGCCCUCGGACGCAAGUUCCGACUCACCCGACCCCGUCCAGGCUCGGGCGCCGGACCCCACUCCGCCUGGGCAGCAAGACUUCCACCACACGGUGCCCGUACCCACGACAUGACAGACGCGACGACUUCCAUACCGCGGCAGGGCAAGGCGAUAACUAUUCCAACCACCCUGGUCACUGUAGCCUUACCUCUGUCACUGUACAUUCUUACCUCUUUCGCUGUAGCGUACUGUCGCACAGUAAAAAGGGAAUGGGAGAGGUAAAAUCAGCACCACUAUUUGACGUCUUUUCCCACUGUUGACAGGAUGUGAAGCAGUGCUGGUGAUCCGACCCCCGCGACCCCUACAGGGCUCGGUAACCCUCUACAGGGGCAGCCAUACCAUCAACCAUCCCUCAAGGACGAGAUGGACCGGCUCCAACAGGGUCGGGACUGAGGUUUCACCAUUCAACAGAGGAAAUUUACUCUUGUAAAAACCUAUCUUCCCCUUGAGACUAUAAAAGGGGAGCCAGGGUUCACAACUAAGGAUAAGUUCAGAAGGUUCACACACACAACACACUUUCACAGAGCAGCAGCCCGCACUCUGUCCACACCAAGCCGAGACCCGGGACUUAGCCCUCUCUCGCAACUAGCUUGUACCCCCUACUGCAAGCACCUUUGGGUGCAAGGUUAUACAGAAUCCACAGCCACACUGGACGUAGGGCAUUCUUGGCUCGAACCAGUAUAAACCCUCUGUGUCUCACUUGCAUCACCAUCCAAGCUUGGUCAGUCACGCAGACUUAUACUUGUUAGUGCCUAGACCGUGAGUCUAGACGCCGACAGUUGGCGCGACAGGUAGGGCCUUCUGCGUGACAUUCACCUGUCCCUACUAGGAAGGUUUGGAUGGCGGACGGAUUUCGCCCGCUCCGUCGCGGCAUCAUCAUGACGUUUGGGAGUUUGGAGUUCAUGUCCCUCGGUUCCGGCUACGACAUGGUCCUCCUCCCGCCAUGUGACGACGUCGAGCCUAGCCCCGAGCCGAUCCCACCACAGUCAGUGCGUGGGAGACGUUCGGGACACCAUGCGGGAGGCUCACGGAGGGGGCGUCAGAGAUCUAGGAUCUCCGACCCUACCUCUGAGGCUAGGACCCGUCCGGCCCUUCCCCCGCAUAUUCCUCACCAGGUCGCCCAUUCCCCCGGCCCGACAGGCGCUAGAGGAAGGGCUCGCGGGGCAUCAAGCCCCGGUUCCAGGACCAACAGAGGACCAUCGCGGCCUCCCGUUCCGCCCCGGUCAAAGGGGAAGGCAAGGACCGCACCCGUCCCCCGCAAGGGGGACAAAGGGACCUCAACAUCCCGUCCUUCUCCACCUACGGAUGAAGGAGUAGCAGCGUGUUGAUGCAAAACUGAUCUGCAAACACAAAGGGCUAAUACCCGAUUCAAACGUUAAGGCGUGCCAGCCGAUUUGACCUUGCUAUCGGCAAAGGUGAUAACUCGAAUACUUUAGUCCUGACAACAGCGAUGCGCCCGGAUGUCACGGCUAAGAGGUACUCACGCGGAACUCGAGAACACGCCGAGCUUAAGUCGACGAAUUCCUAAGAACUCGUAAUAAAAAGAAAAAAGUAUGACGAAGUCGUCGAAAAAGUAGAUGCUGGAAUAUGAGUAAAACGUGUGUUUGAUUGAUUUUUUGAUAUCUUGAUUACAAGGUCCUAGGGUUUAUAUUUAUACCCUGCUCAAAGAGCUACGACCAGACACGAUUAGAAUUCGAAUUCCAAAUUACACGGAAUCCGUAUACAAAACGAUGCAAAUAACUAAGGAAAUAAUAAAACUAUCCUUCGUGACAAACCGAAACUCCUCCAGAUGACAACUGGCAGCUCCCGGACUCCUCCUUUGCGUCAUCGGCAAUCCCUUUGCCAUAGUCAUCGGCAGCCCUUUUUACUCAGCCAUCGGCACCAUAUUACUGCCUGUGAACUUAGUCACAUCCAACCUCUCCCUCAUCGGCAACCAUCCUCAUCAGCAACCCGCAUCGUACUGCCACCCUAUCCUGCCAUCCUGGACACGUGCCCAAAAAUGGUGUCAACACAUGCCCCCCAGUUUCGGAGUAUAAAACUAUUAAUGCUCCGAAAUUCUCUGCAGUAAUGAUGUCUCCUCCGCAAUUAAUGCUCCUAAUCUGGUAACCGACAACCUCAAUCUGGACAACUCUGAUCCUAAUCCUCCGCAGAUUCCUCGAAAUCCCCAAUUUCCUAAACGGGCAUCUUUCUUGGUCGUACAUCGGCAACAAUACCGUUACAAAGAUCUGCCGAUGCUCUGACCGGGAUAUUCGCAAAAACGGUUACUUCCCCUCUAUCCGCCCAUCGGCAAGAUGACCGUUAUAGAAUAUCGCCGAUGGACCGACCAGGAGAUCGCGCACAGUAAAAUAUCUUUAGAUAAUGACCGCUUCCUGUCAAAUCACCUGCACAAUCCCUGGAUUACCAUGCAAACAGUUACCAUAUCCACCUGAGUACCCUCGGGCUUCUCGGAUGCGGCAAAGAGAUAAGUCGGAUUUGCCCUUGCCCAUCUUGUCCUAUAAAUAGUUCCUUCUUGGGUACUCCUCCCCCAUCACACCAUUCUACUAUCCAACUUUGCUUUUCCAGCGGCGGCGCCAUUUACAACCCUCAAGAUCUCCGGCAAGCACUCCUCUUCAUCAACUCUGGUGCCCUCCAGCGUCCUCUUCACGACAAGAUGGCCGUUGGCUUCGUCGUCCCUGAGGUCAGACUUCCAUCUCAUCUGCUGUACCUUUUUCUCGCAUUCCUGUUCAUCCGCGAUUUACCUUACCGAAUAUUUUCCUUUUCCUUUUUCUUUGUAUUUUUAUUCCCCAAAACACUAGGAGUUGUCCAACAAAAUUGUCAUUCCUACCGAUCAACCACACCUUCAGUGCCUCGGCCCUCUAGGGGAUCCAGAUCCAACCGACCUUAUCAAUGCAGAAACCAACAGGAUUCCCUUCAGAGCUGAAAACUUUUCUUUAGAUCUGUGGAAAGACACCUUUCGUUCUUGGCCCAGCCCUACUGUAGGGUGGAAAGAUUGGUUCUUGAGGGUCAGCAACUCUUAUGAAGUUCAAUGGGGUGAGAGGAAACUAGCUCAAUGUAUUAGGCUAUCCAUUGCCGAUAUGCACAGGAACGAGUCAUUGCUGAUAGCUGCAUCCUACUUUUGGUUAGACACUCUCAAUGCCUUUGUUUUUGGCCACGGCCCUGCUUCUCCUACCCUUGCCGAUGUAGCCAUGCUUACUGGGCUAGAUAUAUCUUCUGCCGAUAGCACCCACUUUUUUGAUACCGCCCCCAGCGCCAAAGUGGAGACUCGCGCUAUCGGCGGUUGGUCAGGGUACAUCCAGAAGUACCGCGGGAGAGGGCCUGUCACCACAAAGGAGCAAACCACCUUUCUGAACAUGUGGCUGGACAAGUUUAUAUUCUGUGGUCGAUCGGCAGGGCCGACUUCUGUUUAUCUAUCGGCAGCAGAAAGACUGGCUAGCGGCGGCCAAUUUCCUCUCGGCCGAUAUUUGCUCGGCGCUGUUUACCACCUUCUUCAUCAGGUAGCCCAGAAACUCCUGCUUGGCCAAUCCAUCGGCAACUUGGGAGGCCCCUGGUGGUUUAUUAACAUGUGGCUCAAUCUGCACCUGCAUAAGUGCCUUGAUUUCAACUUGUUCUCACAGCACUUCCCAAGAGAUAUAGCCGAGAAUCAUGUGUUAGGUGAAGAGGAAUCGGCAACGCGUGCCCCCUUGAACUUUGGUGAAGCCGUUAUAGUCUUACCCGGUUCAGGGAACAAUCCGGAUCAGAUCGGCCGAUUCUUCGAGACUCUAUAUGAGGGUCUGGCCAGAGAUGAACGACCAUGGCUGGCUUAUGACGACCCAGACAGCAUGCUCCCUCUGACCUUCAAUCCAUUUGAUGAGGCUCUCGACAGGGACAAUGAGGUGAUGAUGGCAAUCGUGACUCCCAGAGCCAUACCGGUGAAUUUCUUCGGUAGCACGAAAACCUCCCCCCAAACCUUUGAAUUUUAUAAUCCAUCGGCAUUAGCUCGCCAGCUAGCUUUCGGCCAAUUGCCGAUUGCACUUCCUUAUGCCGAUGUAAUAAAGCCCAGAGAACCCAUCGCCAACCUCCUUGAGUGGUCUCGAGUAGCCCAGUUACCACCAAAUGCCGACACAGACGUAGAUCUGUCAGAAUGGGUUCCAGCCGCCUUUAUCACUCAGGCAUACAAGCUAUGGUGGGCAGAAUGGAAGGAGAAUCUAUUCUGCAGAUCGGCCCUCUCAUACCGCGGCAUGAUCGACCCCGAAUACGAAGUCCCCGAUGACACUGUAAGUAUUUUAAACCGAUGUCUUAUUUUCCAAUACCAUUCCCAUCGGUAACUUACCCCUGUAUUUCUUUUGCAGAUUGACAACACCCCCCCAUCGGUCAGUAGGAGUGGCAAGCCGAUCGACUUAUUCCCAUCAGGCCCGAUCUCCUCAAUCGGCCAUAAAGCUCCCACUCUGGCUUCCAUCGUGCACCGGGGUGUGCGCCUCAAGAAAGUUACCACCAGGAAAACUCAGACAUCACCAACGGUAACUGCCUCCACUCUGGCGCAAGCUUUCAAGGCAAUCUGUUAAAACCUUUUUCAUUUAUGCUGACUAUCUUUGUAUCGGCUAUCUGUGCUCAUAAACUCCUUUUUGUUGUUGCAGCAAACUGGUGCAUCGGCAAAAGCCAAACGCCAAGGUGCCGAUGCCCCCCAGUCUAGCCAGCCAAAGAGGAAGGGCAUCCAAGGUGCUAAGGCUAGAACAAAGCGCCAGAAAGUGGCAACUCCUCCUCCUCCUCCGGUGUCUCCAAUCCCGGUGGAAUCUUCCCCUUCUUCUCCAGAAGUCCAGACACAGCAAGUACCAUCUCCCCAACCAAUACAGGAAGCACCACAGAUGGAAGAACCUCAGCAAGAAGAACCUCAAACGGCAGGUACAUCAGCUGACGUAGGUGAACAAACAACUGGUCCGGCAGGUCCAGUUAUAUCAUUGGUGGUUUCCCCGACUCAGGCAGCUGUUCUCUCUCCUCCAGGUAACACAUCUCAACAAUACUUCCGCCGAUAAACUUAUUCUCAUUUAGUCUCAUAAUCCUUCCUGUCUUCUUUCAGGCGAUAUUGUUCCAUCGGCAACAUUUGCCGAUCAACCUGUAGCUCCAUCGGCAUCUUUGAGCCAAAGGCAAGAAAUUGCCUUGAAGCAAGUAAGUCAUCCAAUUUUCCACCAGUACCGUGUGCCGAAGUUUUGACCAUAAAACUGACUUAUUUCAUCUUCAUUUUCAGGAACAAGAUUCUCCCAACAGCUUAUUCUCCUUCGCCAUUGAUAUCUUCGAAGAAGAAGGCGAGGAAGCAAGCUCCUCUCGGGCAGUUGGAACUGUAUCGGCAGAAACCAGAGCUAAGCUGGAAGAGCUAUCGGCCAUACUCCAUCAAGACACAACUCAACUGGUCAACGAUUCUGACCCAGCCAAAGCCCUGUUCAAGACCCUUAGAGGCCAAAUUCCUGCCGAUGCUGAAGAGACACUCUUCCAUGCUGCACACCUAGAAAGCCGCCAGCUACAGUACCAGAGAGCCACUCGACGCCUUGCCGAUAGAGCCGCUCAAAUCCAGCUCUCUGAGGAGAUGAUGAAAGAGAAACUUUUAACCGAUGAGAAACAUAAGAACAUCGGCACCUUAAAGUCCUCAGGUGAUGCACUGAAGCAGAAAGUGUCUGAUCUAUCGGCAAAAAGAGAAGCUCUACUGGCCGAACUCAAGCAAGUAGAGGACGCUCUGUCCCAAGCCCAGCAAGAAGAGAGUCGACUGCCGGAGACCAUCAAGCACCUUGAACAAGAACGAAACGUCCAUGGUCGCAAAGCGCUGCAGCUGAAGAGGAAGCUGAAGCCGAUAGAAGGUUCUGCCGAUGAUGAUAUCAAAGAGAUAGAGACAGCCAAUCAGAUUCGGCUGCGCGCCAUAUCAGCAAUCCAAGCGCUGCUGAACAUAUGAAGCUUUCAUCGGCAACACACCUUUGUUUUUCCGCUUUUAGCUUUUAGUCUAGCCGAUAAGACUGUUAUCGGCACCUUUUGAAACAUUAAGUCUGCCCCCGAACAUUUAAAUCCAGCCGAUAGGAGUGUUAUCGGCACUUAAACUUUUAUGCGUCGAUCCAUAUGCUGGGGUAGUACUUCUUUAAAUAUUUGCCAUUUAACGCUCUGGGAAAUUCAACUCCUUCGAGAGUUUCUAGAAUAUAGGCAUUACCAGGAGCUGAAUGUCUUAUCCGAUAAGGACCUUCCCAAUUAGGAGACCACUUCCCAAACUUCGAACUUUUAGUCCCGACUGGCAAAAUCAACUUCCAUACCAAAUCCCCAUCGGCAAACUCCUUAGCCUUUACUUUUUUGUCAUACCAUCUAGCAACUCUCUUCUUAUUUUCUUCUAUACUCAUUAAAGCCUUCAACCGAUGCCCUGCUAAAUCAUCUAACUCAUCGGUCAUCAAAGUGGCAUAAUCAUCGGCAGCCAAUUGAUCUUGAAAAGAUAAUCGCCUAGAUCCAGCCUUAAUCUCCCAAGGCAAAACUGCAUCAUGUCCAUACACCAAUUGAUAGGGCGACACCUUGGUUGAUCCAUGACAAGCCAUCCGAUAAGACCACAGUGCCUCAUUUAACAAUGUAUGCCACCGCCUAGGAUUCUCUUCAAUCUUUCGUUUAAUAAGCUUGAUAAUUCCUUUGUUGGACGCUUCGGCCUGCCCAUUGGCUUGAGCAUAGUAAGGAGAAGAAUUCAACACUUUAAUUCCCAUACCGAUUGCGAAUUCAUCGAACUCCCCCGACGUGAACAUGGUGCCCUGAUCGGUAGUAAUCGUUUGGGGAAUCCCAAAUCGGUAAAUAAUAUGCUCCUUCACAAAAUCAAUCAUAUUGGCCGAUGUGACUUUCUUCAAAGGAAUAGCUUCGACCCACUUAGUGAAAUAGUCAGUAGCAACUAGAAUGAACUUAUGCCCUUUGCUAGAUGGUGGAUAAAUCUGGCCGAUCAGAUCGAUGGCCCACCCCCGGAACGGCCAAGGUUUUAUUAUAGGAUUCAUAGCCGAUGCGGGUGCUCUCUGGAUAUUACCGAACUUUUGACAACCUUGACAUCCCUUGAAAUAUUUAAAACAAUCUUCAAGUAUGGUUGGCCAAAAAUAUCCAUUCCUUCGAAUCAUCCACUUCAUCUUAAAAGCUGACUGAUGCGCUCCACACACUCCUUCAUGGAUUUCUCCCAUCAAACUUCUGGCUUCAUCAUCACCCAAGCAUCGGAGAAGAAUUCCGUCGAUAGUUCGAUAAUACAAUUCAUUCUCAAGGAGCACAUACUUGGUUGCUUGAAAUCGAACCCGUCUUUCAACUUUUUUAGACGGAUCUUUUAGAUAAUCAAUAAUUUCUUUCCUCCAAUCACCGGCACUGACUGCCGAUGUCGCAUUAAUCAUUGGCUGAUAUCCCGAGGCAUGCUGGGCUAACCGAUUAGCGUCUUCAUUAUGCAAUCGGGGAACAUGCUCCAAUCGGAAGUUCUUGAAUUCUUUUAACAGUUGCAUACUUCUCUCGAAAUAGGUUAUGAGAACUUCACUUCGGCAUUCAUAGCUUCCGGCCAAUUGAUUUAUAACCAACAUGGAAUCCCCGAAUACUUCAACAGCAUCAGCACGAACUUCUCUUAACAACUCCAAUCCCUUGAUCAGAGCUUGAUACUCAGCCUGAUUAUUUGUUGAUGUAGCAACAAUCGGCAAGGAAAACUCAUACUUCCUCCCUUUAGGAGAAACUAAUACAAUGCCGAUUCCUGCUCCUCGGUCACAGGUAGAUCCAUCAAAGAAGAGCGUCCAGGGUGCAAUUUCCAAGGUUUCCACUAGACCGCAAUGCUGAGUCACAAAAUCGGCCAUAACCUGCCCUUUGACCGCCUUAGCCGAUUCGUAACGCAAAUCGAACUCCGACAGCGCCAAAAUCCAUUUACCGAUCCUACCACUCAUAAUCGGCAUAGAUAGCAUGUAUCGGACCACGUCAUCUUUGCAAACAACAGCACAUUCGGCCGACAAUAGGUAAUGUCUUAGCUUGAUACAUGAAAAAUAUAAGCAUAAGCACAGCUUCUCCAUGGCCGAAUACCUGGUUUCAGCAUCAAUCAACCUCCUACUCAAAUAAUAAAUUACUCUCUCUUUCCCUUCAAAUUCUUGAACUAAAGCUGAACCGAUAACCGAUCCAUCCGUAGAUAAAUAUAAUUUAAAGGGUUUCCCUUGUUGAGGUGGAACUAAAACUGGAGGAUUUACUAGAUACCUUUUGAUCUCAUCCAGAGCCAACUGCUGUUCUUCUCCCCAAACAAACUCCUGAUCGGCUUUCAAUUUGAGAAGAGGACUGAAAGCACGAAUUCUCCCAGAUAAAUUCGAUAUAAAUCUUCUGAUAAAAUUCACCUUGCCGAUCAAGGAUUGGAGCUCGGUUUUAUUGGUAGGGGCCACUAUUUUAUUGAUGGCAUCAAUAGAUCUUCGACUAAUUUCAAUACCCCUCUGAUGUACCAUAAAACCAAGAAACUGCCCUGCCGAUACGCCAAAUGCGCACUUGUUGGGGUUCAUCUUCAAUCCAUGCUUCCUGGUGCACUCCAACACUUUUCGUAGAUCGGCAAGAUGCUUUGAGAAAUCUUCAGACUUAACCACCACAUCAUCAAUAUAAAUUUCUACGAUCUUGCCGAUGAACUCAUGAAAUAUAAAAUUCAUAGCCCUUUGAUAAGUAGCACCAGCAUUCUUUAACCCAAAAGUCAUGACUAUCCAUUCAAAUAGUCCAACAUGACCAGGACACCUGAAUGCGGUUUUUGGAAUAUCCUCCUCUGCCAUGAAUAUUUGAUUGUAACCCGCAUUACCAUCCAUGAAACUGAUGACCCGAUGGCCAGCCACAGCAUCAACCAGUAGAUCGGCGACAGGCAUUGGGUAUCCAUCCAUCGGCGUAGCUUUAUUGAGAUUCCUGAAAUCAAUGCACACCCGAAGCUUCCCGUUCUUUUUGUAAACCGGAACAACAUUGGAAAUCCAUUCGGCAUACCGACACUGCCGAAUAAACUUAGCUUCAAUAAGUUUAGUGAUUUCGGCCUUAAUAUCAGGUAGAAUGUUAGGAUUACAUCGGCGGGCUGGUUGCUGAUGUGGCCGAAAUCCAGACUUGAUGGGUAACCGAUGUUCAACAAUUGAUCGGUCUAAACCAGGCAUCUCUGUAUAAUCCCAAGCAAAGCAAUCUUUAUAUUCCUUUAACAAACUAGUUAACUGCCGUUUACACUCAGGAUCUAAUUUAGCACUAAUAAAAGUAGGCCUAGGCUUAUCACCACUACCUAUAUCUACUUCUACCAAAUCAUCGGCCGAUGUGAAUCCCUGGCCUAAUUUUCCAUCAUCGGCGAAUCUAUCCAUUAAAAACCGUCGUCAGAACCGACUGCUUGGAUCGGUGGAAUCUCAUAAUCGGCAACUUUGAGAAAAUCUUUCUCCCAAACUUCUCCUGAAAUGCACCUAGUCUUUUCAUAAGUAUCCGCUUCUGCCGAUGCGAUAAUAUAAGAAGAAUCCCCUGGGACGAUCUCAAUCUUGUCACCUACCCACUGAACCAAGCACUGGUGCAUUGUAGAUGGGACACAACAAUUGGCAUGAAUCCAAUCUCUCCCCAAUAAUAAAUUGUAGGCACCUUUUCCGCUGAUCACGAAAAAAGUUGUCGGCAAGGUUUUGCUGCCGAUGGUCAACUCUGCGCAUAUCGCCCCCUUGACUGGAGACACGUUUCCUUCAAAGUCUUUGAGCAUCAUAUCGGUCUUGGUCAAAUCUUGAUCCCCUUUCCCAAGCUUCCGAUAUAUUGCAUACGGCAUAAUGUUAAUAGCAGCUCCACCAUCAACUAGGAUCUUAGUCAUUGGCUGCCCAUCAACCCUUCCUUUGAGGAACAGGGCUUUAAGAUGCUGCCUCUCGUCAUCGGCAGGUUUCUCAAAGAUAGCCGUCAUCGGAUCCAGGGCCAACUGAGCUAUCUGAUCAGAAAAUUCCAACUCAUCGUCACUGGCUGGUGCAAGAAACUCCAUCGGCAACAUGAAGACCAUAUUGACGCAGCCGAUGGACCUUCCCUCUUAGUAUCUGACGGCUGCCGACUUCUAGAGUUCUCUCCUUUAUUUAGCUCUUCCUGCCUCUCACGUUGCAACCUCCUUUUCUGUGUCUUGGUUAAUCCUUGAGGGCACCAUGGAGGAAGUGGCCUUUGCCUUGCCAUCGGGCGUUGGUUCUCUCUCGACUCCAUGCGAUGCGUGUUAGCAUCCCUACAAAAUAUGAAUUCAUCGGGAACCCGUGCAUCAGCCAUUCCUUCAAGCUCCUCUUGGUUCCUGGGAAAAUACCGGACACGAUCUCCGAGCCGAUCGUGAACGCUAAGCCUGCCCCCCAGCCGAUCAUGAACUGACGCCCUUCCUCUGAUUGGCCCAUUAAAUCGCCGUUCAUCAUCAUGAUAACGCCGAUCGGUUCUACUGUACCGAUCAUAACCGUUGCACUCAGGGCAGUCUCUGACAGUAGGCAGCUUGAUAUUUUCCUCCCAACAAUGGAUGAAGAAUGGACAAUUCCAAUGAUCCCUGUGCCGAUUCCACUCCUGUCGGCGUCUUUCUUCUUCCCGUCGAUAAUCCUCUUGCUGGCGCCGAUACCGAUCUUCCCAUUGUUGCCAAUUUCCUCGUGGCCUUCUAUGAGUUAUGACGAUACCAGACCGAGGAGGCUUUCCUGAGCUAGUUCCUUCCUGGACCAAGCCCUUAUUUCUUGCAUCGGCAGUAGUAACUUGAUGCUGAGGAUCUACCGAUGCACUCUUCUCAGCUGUCUCCGAUGUUAAGACUUUAGCCUUCCCCUUAGCAUCCAACAUGUUUGUCGGGAAAGGAUGUUGGUCUAUCUUCAUUGGCUUCUGGGCUUUGGAACUGUCAAAUUUGAUUCUCCCUGACUCUAUAGCCGAUUGCAGCUGCUGUCUGAAUACUUUGCACUCGUUGGUGUCAUGGGAAGUUGCAUUAUGCCACUUGCAAUAUCUCAUCCUCCUCAACUCUUCUGCCGAUGGAAUCACAUGGUUAGGUGACAGUUUGAUCUGACCUUCCUGAAGUAGAAAGUCAAAUAUCCUAUCGGCCUUGGCGGUAUCAAAGGCGAACUUCUCUGGUUCCUUCUGCCCGAAAGGACAAGACAUCGGCUUCUUGUUUUUUACCCACUCUGCCAAACCGAUUACUGGUUCCUCGUCGGAAUCUGAGCUUGUUGCUUCAUCAACAAAUGAGACUUUCUUAUUCCAUGCCCUCUUAGGUUCGAAAGGCUUGAUGUCUUGAUCAGAUAUCCUCUGCACCAAGUGACUUAAACUUUCGAAUUCCUGAGAGGCAUACUUAUCCCUGAUAUGUGGCAACAAACCCUGGAAAGCCAAAUCGGCUAGCUGCCGAUCAUCCAGAACCAGGCUAUAGCAUUUAUUCUUGACCUCUCGUAUCCUCUGCAAAAAUCCUUCGACCGACUCAUCAUUACGUUGCCUCAACUUGACCAAGUCGGUGAUCUUCUUCUCAUGAACCCCCGAGAAGAAGUAUCUGUGGAAUUGCUUCUCUAGAUCGGCCCAGGUGAUUACCGAAUUGGGAGGUAAUGAUAUGAACCAAGUAAAGGCUGAUCCAGACAAUGAUGAUGAAAAUAGACGCACCCUUAAUUCGUCCCUGUUACCAGCCUCUCCACAUUGAAUAAUGAACCUGUUGACAUGCUCCAUGGUUGACGUGUCAUCCUGUCCGGAAAACUUUGUAAAAUCCGGUACCUUGUACCGAUGUGGAAGCGGGAUCAAAUCAUACGCUGGAGGAUACGGUGUCCGAUAAGAAUAAGUGUUGACUUUGGGUUUUAUCCCAAAUUGUUCCCUCAUUACUUCAGCAAUCUUAUCGGCCCAAUACGCAUCGGCAUCUUGCCGAUGAGGCGGCUGCGGAUCUGGCAUUUGGUGGCGAACCUCCACGUGUCUGUUCGGGACGUGACCUGUAUGGAACAUUGUAUUGGUCAUCUGUCCUCCAAUCUGCGGACUACCAAACUGCUGUCCACCGAUUGGCUGUCCUCCGGGUUGCUGUCCAAAAUUUAUUGGCUGGUUGGGAAGUCCCUGACCUUGGAACCCGGGAUAAACCUGCCCCUGCGGGAACCCCGUAAUCUGAUAACCUUGCUGGGGCGACUGUGGAAAGGCUUGCUGUCCAAGCCAUCCAUUAUUAGCGUUCAUCGGCAUAGGUGCUGCCGAUGAUUGGUAAUUGGGUACCGUCGUUGAAUUGACAUACCCCGACUGGGCCAUAGGCCUCUGUUGCAUCAGCAUUGACUCUGCCGAUGCGUUGGGCAUCUGGAAUAUUGAAUCUUGAGGAUUUCCAGUGUGAGGCCUUGCAGUAGUAGUUGUGGUAUACCGAGGACUCUGGUUCACCGGCACAUUGGAAGGUGCCGAUGUCAUAGGAGUUUUGCCCCUCAUGUCAGUUAUCUGUGAUGUUCCCGGCGUCAACUCUGGAGGCAUACCAUAACCCCACCAGUUGGGAGGAAGCGUUAACCCUGACAUUGCCGAUGCCAACAUAUCUGUUGUCAGUUUAUGCUGCCCAACUGAAAUUUGCGGGUUGGUUGCCAUCGGCAUAGAUAGUGCACCAGUAGUCCCCAAUGUACUUGGAGGGACGGCAGACUGUGCACUUGCACUCGUCAAGGCAGCCGAUGGAGCCGUGACCUCUGGUGCCGUUGGCUGAUGAUGGGAGGGCCCCACAUAAUCUGGCGGGAUUUGUCCUUCCUUGAAAGUUCUUGCUACGACGUUGAAAACCGUAUUAGACAGUACACCAGCUUGGUUAAUCAACGCUCGAUUGAUGGCAUUGUCAACCAUAUCUUGAAGCUUGCCAGGAUUGGCGUCAAAGGUGACCUGCCGUGGUGCCGGCAGUGCAUCUUUCUGGACCACUUCGCCGCUCCUGUUUAUGCUGAAAGACUUCAGGCAUUGCUGCUUGAAUUCUUCCAUGGCUUGGGCAAUAGCUUGCUUUUGCUCAUCCUUGAGGUUGGCUUCCGUCACGGGGAUGACGUUCUCUUGAUCGAGGUCAGAGAUCGACAUGUUGAUCUUGAUCUUGAAUCGGUCCCACCGGGCGUGCCAAAAGAUGUGUUGAUGCAAAACUGAUCUGCAAACACAAAGGGCUAAUACCCGAUUCAAACGUUAAGGCGUGCCAGCCGAUUUGACCUUGCUAUCGGCAAAGGUGAUAACUCGAAUACUUUAGUCCUGACAACAGCGAUGCGCCCGGAUGUCACGGCUAAGAGGUACUCACGCGGAACUCGAGAACACGCCGAGCUUAAGUCGACGAAUUCCUAAGAACUCGUAAUAAAAAGAAAAAAGUAUGACGAAGUCGUCGAAAAAGUAGAUGCUGGAAUAUGAGUAAAACGUGUGUUUGAUUGAUUUUUUGAUAUCUUGAUUACAAGGUCCUAGGGUUUAUAUUUAUACCCUGCUCAAAGAGCUACGACCAGACACGAUUAGAAUUCGAAUUCCAAAUUACACGGAAUCCGUAUACAAAACGAUGCAAAUAACUAAGGAAAUAAUAAAACUAUCCUUCGUGACAAACCGAAACUCCUCCAGAUGACAACUGGCAGCUCCCGGACUCCUCCUUUGCGUCAUCGGCAAUCCCUUUGCCAUAGUCAUCGGCAGCCCUUUUUACUCAGCCAUCGGCACCAUAUUACUGCCUGUGAACUUAGUCACAUCCAACCUCUCCCUCAUCGGCAAUCAUCCUCAUCAGCAACCCACAUCGUACUGCCACCCUAUCCUGCCAUCCUGGACACGUGCCCAAAAAUGGUGUCAACACAGCGGCACCUCCUGAGUUACCUUUUGGGCUCAGGAAUGCCGCCGCCACCUACGCCUCUUCCGCAAGCACUUCAUUAAGUGCGUACGCGGAACUUCCAGGGCACCAUUUGAGGUCUACACUGGACCUCAUCUCCACACCGCCCGUCUCAUCAUACCCAGAGGACCUCACCUCGGGCGUCGACGAGUGGGCUGGCGCUGAUUUCUCCAGGUGUGGCGAUCCAGAGACUUUCAUGCGUUUCUUGGAGGCCAGCAACUAUUGUCUCGGCUACUCCGACUCCGACGACGGAAGCUACGACCCGUCACGAGAAUGCUUCAACUUAGAAGUCGGAGGCACGCCGCAUGGCGCCCAGGGGGACGCAGGGCCCUCUAGGCAAGAGGACGCAACUCCACCUCCCAAUCCGACUCCCGGAACCAAUCCCGGUGCCCGUGGGGUAGCAUCUGCCCCCGCUGGAGGACACCGUCCUGACCUCGCACAGCUCGAUGAGCUGGAGGCUAGGCUCGAAGAAGAGCGCACACGCCUCCGCCAACUCCGCGAGGCCCUGGUCCGAGAGCCGUCAGGCCGCGGGGAUGGGGGCGAGGCUAGACGCCGCGCCCGUGACGUCAACCGCCGUAUCAUCGAGGACCAACGGGGUGACGCCCCGGUCUUCAGCACGGCCAGCCAAAACGUGAUAGCUGUUGACGGUCCUUAAGUAUCAAAUUUAACUAUCAAAUAAACAAAAAAAAGGAUCCAAAUGAAAUCAACAUCAAGACUUAGGGUUUUAUCUGACAGAAUUCCACGUUUGGUGUUUGUCUAUUUCUGCAGGGGGUUAUCAGGAAAUAAGGAAGAAAGGCCCACACGUCGGGAUUACAUAGAGAUAUCAACGUGCCGCGCAAUUAUCUUACAUCUAGAAGACUCCAGAAGCCACGAGACCGAAGCGGAGGCGAAACGGGGCCAGAGACAGGGCGCCCGCCCUGUCCUACUGGGCGCCCGCCCACCUCCUGUGGCCAAUCACGCUCAAUCUCGCAGAUUAUGCUCCACCGACCUAAAGGAUCAAGAAUAACCGUUCAAUCAAUGUCGGUUUGAUCCGACGGCCCAGGUUCACUUGAGGGGACUAUAAAACCAGACCCCCUGGCCCCUGGAGGAGGCAACCCCUUGAUCAUUAUUCAUUAUUCAUAGUCAGAGCAAAAGCUAGGGUUUAGAGAUGAGAGCUCUCCUCUCUUCUCUAAACUAGAGUAGAUCUAGAUAGUAGCGAGAUGGAGAGCGAAGGAGGAUUAGAGGAGAGGCCGGCCUGUCGGUUUUUCCUCCGGUUGUACUUCGCCAUGAUCAAGCUCUAAUCAAGCUUGCUCAUGGGAUGACUCUGGUAAUCUACUUCUAAUUCAUUAUGCAAUUACUAAUCAUGUAUGUUCUGGUUCACAACUCUUUUGAGUACUUCUAAUCUAUAGGACCCUAUAGGUUAGAGUUGUAGUAUAGUGUGUAAGCGUGGUGCUUAGACCUAGAUUACUUGUGGAUAUCCCCUGACUAGCUGGAUCGUGUGGUAGGCCGCGUAGGUGACAGUUACGUUGGUCCCCUGUAGUCCACCUCUUGUUAGCAGGACGGGUAGGGUUUAUCGGCCUAUGGAUAAGCAUCCUUUGUGGUGUACUCUUAUCACGUGGUUCGUCCCAGACAUAGACAUACCCCUUUGAAGUAGAGAAACCAUAGUUAUCCUCUCUAUUCUGCUACCAUCGCCCAUAUACUAGAAUUGCUCUAUUCUCUAUUCCCAUAUUAUCACUCACUGUUAUCUUACCUUUAAUAUUGUUCUUAUUCGAUUCUAUCAUCUUUCUUAUUUACACCUAUCUAUCUAUCUUGGUUAAGUUAGAGCGUAGUUGGUUCUCCCGUUUCCCUGUGGAUACGAUAAAACCUUUAACCGGGUAAAAGCUUCAACGGUAUCCGUGCGCUUGCGGAUUAUCUGUGUGCGUAUAAAUACCAUAGUACACUCUAGUGCCAUGCUGGGGAUGACAACCUAGUAUUCAAGUGGUGUUAGCAAGUGUCAACAAGCAUUUUUGGCGCCGUUGCCGGGGAAACGGUUGCUGAGUUGACUACGAACUAGUUUAAUCAUUUUAUAAAAAAUAAAUAAAUAAAUAAAAAUAUUUUCCUUUUAUCCUUUGCCUCAUCUCUGCUAUUCUUUCUUCUUAUCUAAUCCUUGAUCUCUGGUCUAUUAUGAAUUCAAACAUGUCUAUCUAUGAAUUUCAUAGACCUAUGGGCACACAUCUCGAACCACCAAAAUCUUCAAAGCCUAUCAUAGCAUCUAGUUUUGAGAUAGACCCCGAAUACAUAGAAUUUAUUCAAAAACAACCUUUCUCAGGAAAAGGUGAGGAGAACCCAUACACACACCUAAGAGAGUUUUAUCGAGUCUGUGACCUCCUUCGCAUAGAAGGCAUGUCUGAUGAGACCCUUAAAUGGAAGCUCUUUCCGUUCUCUUUAACGGGAAAAGCUAGACAUUGGUAUAAACUCAAAGUAGGGAGUGUUCAUGGAGAUUGGAAGGAGUUAUAUAGUAGUUUUCUUUCUAAAUAUUUUCCAAUCUCCAAAGUGGUGGAACUUCGGCGUGAGAUUCUUUCUUUUAGACAACUGGAAGAAGAAUCUCUUGGCAAAUCAUGGGACCGCUUUAUUAACCUUACUCUCACUGGCCCAAAACUUUCUAUUCUAGAAGAAGUUCUUCUAAUUCACUUUUUUGAGGGCCUUAGUAGGAAAAAUAAGCAAACCCUUCAUGCGGCCUCUGGAGGAUCUUUCCACCACCUAUCCGCUAGUGAAGCUUGGAAUUUGAUUGAUUUAAUGAGCGGAAAGUCUCCUAGCUUUUAUAUCCCUGAGAAAGAGAAAGAACCAGUUCCUAGACAAGAAGAAGAAGUUUCGAUAGCCAGAUCACAACCACUUCAAUCCCAAACUUUAGCUAUCGAUCUUAAACCAUCAAUACCCAAAAAUUCUCCAAGGGAGGAAGGAAUUCCGACUUUAAAUCUUUUAGAUGCUGAUGGUUUAGACUUCUGGUUCUAUAAGAGACCUUCAAGUAGGGAUAAUUCAAAUCAUCGCAAUAAUGUUUCUCUUAGAGAAUGUCCUGGUUCCUAUCAUGAAGAAGUCGAGGAUGACAUAUCAAGUGAAGGAGAGCUAAGCCAUAUAGACAAUUCUAUCUACUCCCCUUCCAUGUUCACAAGUUCUAAAUCCAUCCUUGACCUUAGAGAUCCCUCUUAUCCCUCUUCUUUUCAAUCUCAUGAUGAUCCUAGCAAUUCACCAAGACGACCAAACCAUAGGAGUCAUGAAGACCAUAAGGAUGGCAUGUCAAGUAAUGCCAUAGAAGGAGAGCUAAGCCAUAUAGAAAAUUCUAACACCUCCCCUAUUUUGAUCACAAGUUCUAAAUGGCUAGAAUGUGUAGAAUGGAUGGAUAAGGAAGAAGCCUUAAUAGGUUCUGACUUUGGCUCAAUUUCAAAUGGUGAGUUCUUGACUCCCUUUGAAGAUGAGAUUCAUCCAACUACAGAAGAGGACAUAGGUGAGACCAAUCCAGGAGAAACUCCGAACAUUCAGAUUAGAGACGAAGAUAACAUUAAUGAGCAUGGAAUUUAUUUCAUAGCCACUUCAUUUACUCCAUGCUCAUAUGCAACAUCUUCCCAAUCUAUUGGUCUCUCCGACAUCACCACACUUGAGAUCUCCAACCCCCUCUUCCUUUCUAUUUAUAAAAACUUUAAAAGGGCGGUUGUCGAUGCAUAUGUCUAUAAUAAAUAUUGCAGAUCUCGUUGAGUUGAUCUAGAUAUAGGUUGGCGUCGGAGGGGAAACCACUUCGCCAACAUAAACUGAUGGUUUCCCAAGGACAAGCUUAGUGUCUUAAAAUAAGCAUUGAUCAGAUCGUAACAUGAGCCUUUAAUUAUUUGCAACAUUACCUUGUGUAUUGAGCAUAUAAGGAUAAUUGUAAAAAAACAUUCCUUCGGGUAUUCUUGUCACUAACCUUUCUAAGAUUGGAGCAAGUAGAUCGAAUGAAUGACAAGCACAAGGUAUGUCCAACCAAUCAUCAUACAACAUUGAAUUAAAUUCAUCCAAACUUGAAUUUUGCAAAAUUCAAGCUUGGGGGAGUACUUUACAUAAGAACAUCCUUUGCCAUGUUGCUAUGCUGGUUGUCCUUACCUUUGAGACAUGCUCAAUUUGUUAAAUACUAAUCACACUACUUCAUCUCCACUUGAGUAGAUCUCUAUAAACGCUGUCAUGCUACCUUUGUCUAUUUAUUAGCAAGUGUUGGUUUGGAAGUACUCGCCAUACUUCCAUUGGCAUUUAAAUUAAGCAUGGUGCUUAGGUUAAAUAGCCUUCCUUAAUCUGAUUAGACAUGGAGUCUAGUUUGGUUAUUGAACUAAAAAAACUGCUUGAGUAGAUAUUGGUAUAUUGUGUCGGACUAACCCCUGCAGAAAAACUUUCAAUAUCGAUUUGGGAAGUCUUGAGAUAAACUCACAUCAGAGACGAAGAAAGUGACACAUGAAGUUUAACAAUUUGCACAAGAAGGACAUAGCUCAUUCAUCAUAGAGAGAUGAUCCAUGGAGGGUGCCACAAACACGAUGCACAACCGCUAAGAAAGGAAAGCUUCCACAAGAUGAUACUGUACCAUCACUCUUCAAGCAAUAACAUGGGUGACACCGUAUUAAAAGGUGCAGACGUCAAGGUCCGCACCUGAAUCAAAUGACGCACCUGAAGAAUGAACACGAUGAGAAGUCUUGACAAGAAGACUUAAAACAUUGAACCCUCACCGAAAGGUAAGAUUGGUAGUUAUCCAUAUUUAUCCUUUCUGCAUUCUCUUUUUCAUUUAAUUAUUUACUUUCCUUAAAUAGAUUUUUAGUUAAUCAUGCUAUCUUGAAAAGAAAAUAAAAAUGUUAAAAAAUACUAAGCCCCAUGUGGGUAUACGAGUGGCAUAAAACCCAUAAGUACCUUCACUGUGGUGGCAUAAAAAUAAAAUAAAUAUUUCUUUUUUACUUUAUAAAAUAAAAAUAUAAAAACAGGGAGUAAUAUUUAUUAAGGAAGCUCAACGUGAUGAAGGCUAGAUAUUUAUGCUAACACUUAAUUAGUUCCACAAGCUUUGUUGUCUAUUUGAGCUCCACAGAAUUUAAGAAUCAAGAAGACUAGCAGAUGGAGGACAUUCUAAUCGCUGUCAGAAUGCUGCUGACUUUCAAAUACACCUCCGCCACCUGCUAGCUACAUCAAGAGAAAUUACGUCAAAAUUCAGCUUGGGGGAGAGCACCCCUAUUUAUCUCGCUAAGUAUUUCUACCUAUCUUUAUACUUAUAUUAUAUUAGAAUAUUAAAAUACAUAAACUAUGAAAAACCAAAUAAAGAUUUUAUGCUUAUAUAUAUAUAUCUUUUCUUAGUUUGCUAAAUAAAUAAAUAAAUAAAUAAAUAAAGUUUGCUAUGAAUCUUAAUAAUAAAACUCUAGCAUUGAUAUGAUGAAUAGUUGCUCUGCCUAAUUUGUAAAUUUGAAGUUCUCUCUCAAGUUUAGACAUAACUGUUAUAAUUUAAAGCUUGCUCUAGAUCUAAACUUGUGGGAUGAAAACUUGAUCUGAAAUCGAAGUUGUUAACGGAUAUGAUAUGGGAAGGUUGAGCUGCUGUUUAUCUAUUCCUAGAGAUGCUAGAAUUCUGGAGAAUUUUAUCUUUGAAAAAUCUUUAAAAUAUUGCAUGAUGAGUUCCUGUAUGAUGAAAGUUUAAAUUCCUACCAUAGCCAUAUAUACAUGCUUGCUAUACUUUGAGCCACACAUUUAUUUACUGCUUAUGAGCAUUGAGUGUGGUCAAGCUGUGUAGACCCUUAGGAGCUUGUCAUGUGGUUAAAUCAAGAUUCACUUGCACGUUCACUCAUAUAUGCUACUUCUACUCCGGAAGUACCAUCCACAUAUAUCCAUCCAUUUCCAUCUCCAGUUUCACCCAAAAUCAUUCUACUCCUAAUCCAGGAGAGAUAGCCAAAAACAUUUUCCUAUCCCUGUUAUUCCCCGUGAAAUAAAUGCUCCAGUUAUUUUGGUUACUACCACUUGCUACAUUAUUUCAGGAGAUGAGUGCUCUGAAAAAAAGAAAAGAGAAGAAAAAAAAAUAAUAAUAAUAAACGAGGAAAUAAAAAGGGGCAAGUGCCCGGAACCUCGAAAGAAAGAAAAAGUGAGACGAGAGGUAAAAAUGGACAAGUGUCCGACAGUAGAAUUAGGGGUACAAGAUACCCACCUGAGAGAAAAGAAAAAGAAGAGCAUCUCAUUCUCCUCAUAAAGUUUCAAAAGCAAGGAAGGUAUGUAUCCCCUCAUAAGAGCAAAAGUAGAAUUAGACUUUCACCAUUGUUAUCACCAUCAUCACCAUACACCAUUCAUUCGCCACACAUGCACAUCUUGAUUUGGCUUAUUGAUUUGUUUCUUUGGAUCCAUGGUUUGACUAUACAAUAAAUGUCUUGUAAGUAUGUAUACUUUAUCUCCCACCUAUGAGCUCCAGAUAUUAAAGCCUUACUAGAGUAGGUGAGAGAGAAGGCAAUGGCACUAUGCCUUAUACCACAAAUACCACAUAUUUUGAGAGAAGGCAUAUACCAUCACUGCCUUGGUAAGGAUCCAGAAAUACCACAAAAGAGAGAUAUGAGAGAGUCAUACAAAGGAAUCUCUGAGUUUUAUUUGAAAAUCUGCAAAAACUCCAGAGUUAUAGCUGAUCAAGAAUAAGAGACAUGGCACUUGACUAGACUGUUCUAUCUUUUAACUGCUCAAGAUGGAAGUGACGGUUACAAGUCCCAUGGUGAAAGGUAAAGUAAGUAAGUUUUAAGUCUUGACAGUUUACUCUAACUCAGAGAUGAGACCUCAUUUAAAAGCAUGUGUACCGUCAAUUUUUAAAGAUAUUGCAACAACUUAUGAUCCAUAGCUG
rnacentral:lncRNA from 1 species